rnacentral:rRNA from 1 species
GAUGAACGCUGACAGAAUGCUUAACACAUGCAAGUCAACUUGAAUUUGGGUUUUUAACUUAGGUUUGGGUGGCGGACGGGUGAGUAACGCGUAAAGAACUUGCCUCACAGCUAGGGACAACAUUUGGAAAUGAAUGCUAAUACCUAAUAUUAUGAUAAUAGGGCAUCCUAUAAUUAUGAAAGCUAUAAGCGCUGUGAGAGAGCUUUGCGUCCCAUUAGCUAGUUGGAGAGGUAACGGCUCACCAAGGCGAUGAUGGGUAGCCGGCCUGAGAGGGUGAUCGGCCACAAGGGGACUGAGACACGGCCCUUACUCCUACGGGAGGCAGCAGUGGGGAAUAUUGGACAAUGGACCGAGAGUCUGAUCCAGCAAUUCUGUGUGCACGAUGAAGUUUUUCGGAAUGUAAAGUGCUUUCAGUUGGGAAGAAACAAAUGACGGUACCAACAGAAGAAGUGACGGCUAAAUACG